rnacentral:rRNA from 1 species
UAGGGAAUAUUGCACAAUGGGGGAAAGCCCUGAUGCAGCGACGCCGCGUGAAGGAAGAAGUAUCUCGGUAUGUAAACUUCUAUCAGCAGGGAAGACAAUGACGGUACCUGACUAAGAAGCCCCGGCUAACUACGUGCCAGCAGCCGCGGUAAUACGUAGGGGGCAAGCGUUAUCCGGAUUUACUGGGUGUAAAGGGAGCGUAGACGGCGUAUCAAGUCUGAUGUGAAAGGCAUGGGCUCAACCCGUGGACUGCUUUGGGAACUGUGCUGCUAGAGUGUCGGAGAGGCAAGUGGAAUUCCUAGUGUAGCGGUGAAAUGCGUAGAUAUUAGGAGGAACACCAGUGGCGAAGGCGGCUUGCUGGACGAUGACUGACGUUGAGGCUCGAAAGCGUGGGGAGCAAACAGGAUUAGAUACCC